AUUCUAGAGCUAAUACUGCUAAAAACCUCGACUUCGGAAGGGGUGUAUUUAUUAGAUAAAAAACCAAUGCCCUUCGGGGCUCCUUGGUGAAUCAUAAUAACUUAACGAAUCGCAUGGCCUUGCGCCGGCGAUGGUUCAUUCAAAUUUCUGCCCUAUCAACUUUCGAUGGUAGGAUAGUGGCCUACCAUGGUAUCAACGGGUAACGGGGAAUUAGGGUUCGACUCCGGAGAGGGAGCCUGAGAAACGGCUACCACAUCCAAGGAAGGCAGCAGGCGCGCAAAUUACCCAAUCCCGACACGGGGAGGUAGUGACAAUAAAUACUGAUACAGGGCUCUUUUGGGUCUUGUAAUUGGAAUGAGUACAAUUUAAAUCCCUUAACGAGGAACAAUUGGAGGGCAAGUCUGGUGCCAGCAGCCGCGGUAAUUCCAGCUCCAAUAGCGUAUAUUAAAGUUGUUGCAGUUAAAAAGCUCGUAGUUGAACCUUGGGCCUGGCUGGCCGGUCCGCCUCACCGCGUGUACUGGUCCGGCCGGGCCUUUCCUUCUGGGGAACCUCAUGCCCUUCACUGGGCGUGUUGGGGAACCAGGACUUUUACUUUGAAAAAAUUAGAGUGUUCAAAGCAGGCCUUUGCUCGAAUACAUUAGCAUGGAAUAAUAGAAUAGGACGUGUGGUUCUAUUUUGUUGGUUUCUAGGACCGCCGUAAUGAUUAAUAGGGAUAGUCGGGGGCAUCAGUAUUCAAUCGUCAGAGGUGAAAUUCUUGGAUUGAUUGAAGACUAACUACUGCGAAAGCAUUUGCCAAGGAUGUUUUCAUUAAUCAGUGAACGAAAGUUAGGGGAUCGAAGACGAUCAGAUACCGUCGUAGUCUUAACCAUAAACUAUGCCG
rnacentral:rRNA from 1 species